CGGUUUUGUCUUAGUUUUGUCCUUCUAAAUCCAACGAGACCUUCCGCGAGGUCGUAGUUCUAAUAGUUGCUGAGAUAUCGCAUUUUUGGAGCCCAUUUUUGGCCUCAAAAACGAGGUCGAAAAACGACUUUUUCCGAAUUUUCAAAGUGCUCUCAUUCCCUUAGUUCUGCUCGAAUCCUGUUAUAACCCGGUAUUUUCGUAAUCUAGGUGACCUAAAUAAGACGCUGGUAUACUUAGUUUAAUUUCGAAAAAAAAAAUUUUUGGUGAAAAAAUUCGAUACGGGGGGGUAUACCCGAAAAACGAAAAAACCCAAACUUUGAAGGCCGAUAUCUCGGCUUCUAUGGGUACUAUCGGGAAAGUUCCAACGGUUUAGUCUUAGUUUCGUCCUUCUGAAUCCAACGAGACCAUCCGCAAGGUCGUAGCUCUUACAAUAGCUGAGAUAUCGCAUUUUUGGAGCCCAUUUUUGGCCUCAAAAACGAGGUCGAAAAACGACUUUUUCCGAAUUUUCAAAGUGCUCUCAUUCCCUUAGUUCUGCUCGAAUCCUGUUAUAACCCGGUACUUUCGUAAUCUAGGUGACCUAAAUAAGACG